rnacentral:misc_RNA from 1 species
AAGUCGUAACAAGGUUUCCGUAGGUGAACCUGCGGAAGGAUCAUUAUUGAAUAAAUGUUGAUAGGCUGUUGCUGGCUUCACUGGAGUAUGUGCACGCUUGUCAUUUUUAUUUUUCCACCUGUGCACUCUUUGUAGACUCUAGAAGAUUCAAUUAUCUGAGAAAGUCAGAUAGAUUGAGGACAGCUGUGUCUUUUGAAGACCAGCUUUGCCUUGCAAGGGGUUAUUCUAGAUUCUAUGUCACUCACAUACUCCUAUGAAUGUAAUGGAAUGUUGAUCUGGGUCUUUGAUACCUAUAAAGUUGUAUACAACUUUCAGCAACGGAUCUCUUGGCUCUC